CAUCCGCUGCUCGGCGCGCGUUGGGGGGGCCCGGGCGGUCCCAUCCUCCGGGCUUGCCAUCCCAUGUGUGGCACCACGCCACGGUAAUUGGAGCGAGAGGUCAUCCUCCGCCCCGUGCCUCAGACGUUCGAGUCGGGUCUGAGCGAGCGUGUCCCUACCGAACAGGAUUAAACACACGGGACGACCCCAUUCGUCGCUCCGGCGGCGAGGCCACGGCCAAACACCACAUACAUAACUAUACCGAACCAAAUCAGUUUAUUACAACUGGUAGCGUUGGAUCCCUCGGCAUGGCUAUCGAUGAAGAGCGCGGCCAGCUGCGAAAUGUGAUGUGAAUUGCAACUCAAAGCGGUUAUCGUGAAUCAUUGACUACUUGAACGCAUUGCACCGCCCUUUUGGGAGUGGUACGCCCGAUUGAGAGUCAUAAUCUCCUUCAGGCCGGGAUGUCUCAGCCGUUCGCUCGGCGACCGUUCCC
rnacentral:rRNA from 1 species